GAUGAAGAACGUAGCGAAAUGCGAUAAGUAAUGUGAAUUGCAGAGUUCAGUGAAUCAUCGAAUCUUUGAACGCACAUUGCGCCCGCCAGUAUUCUGGCGGGCAUGCCUGUUCGAGCGUCAUUUCAACCCUCAAGCCCAGCUUGGUGUUGGGGAUCGGCACAGGCGCCCUCGGGCGCCCGCCGUCCCCUAAAUCUAGUGGCGGUCCCGCUGCAGCCUCCUCUGCGUAGUAGUUUUCUCCUCGCAAGGGCAGCUCGGUGGCGACCUCGCCGUAAAACCCCCAACUUCUGAAAGGUUGACCUCGAAUCAGGUAGGAAUACCCGCUGAACUUAAGCAUAUCAAUAAGCGGAGGA
rnacentral:misc_RNA from 1 species